UGGGGAAUAUUGCACAAUGGGCGCAAGCCUGAUGCAGCGACGCCGCGUGCGGGAUGGAGGCCUUCGGGUUGUAAACCGCUUUUGUUCAAGGGCAAGGCACGGUCUUUGGCCGUGUUG
rnacentral:rRNA from 1 species